rnacentral:rRNA from 1 species
GAUGAACGCUGGCGGCGUGCUUAACACAUGCAAGUCGAACGAUGAAAGCGGGAGCUUGCUCCUGCUGGAUUAGUGGCGAACGGGUGAGUAACACGUGAGCAAUCUGCCCCGAACUCUGGGAUAAGCGUUGGAAACGACGUCUAAUACCGGAUACGACGCGCGAAGGCAUCUUCUGCGCGUGGAAAGAAUUUCGGUUCGGGAUGAGCUCGCGGCCUAUCAGCUAGUUGGUGAGGUAACGGCUCACCAAGGCGACGACGGGUAGCCGGCCUGAGAGGGUGACCGGCCACACUGGGACUGAGACACGGCCCAGACUCCUACGGGAGGCAGCAGUGGGGAAUAUUGCACAAUGGGCGCAAGCCUGAUGCAGCAACGCCGCGUGAGGGACGACGGCCUUCGGGUUGUAAACCUCUUUUAGCAGGGAAGAAGCGAAAGUGACGGUACCUGCAGAAAAAGCACCGGCUAACUACGUGCCAGCCGCCGCAGUAAUAC